GUGACUUGGUGACAACCAGCCUUGCUCACGAAGCGUCAGCCGUAUCCUUUCUGUGUGCAGUGGGGUGUGGGUUGUGUGGAGCCGCGGUGUCUGUGGAAUUCACAGGCUGGGGCCGGAAUCCAUGGCCCCCGUCGCCGCUGCCACCCCCCAGGUCCAUUAUUUAUUCUUCUCCAUCUUGUUCUGUGUUCCUGGAAGCCAACCUUUAUAAGCUGCAGGAAAUGGAUUUCCUACUCUCCACCUUCUGAUUGGGCUUGACCAACGGGGAGCACUGGCAGAAGACAAGCAUGGGAGGAAAAAGAGAUCAGGGUAUUCAUUUCCCCAGAUCCCUCCCUGUCCUCUACUUAAAGGUCAUAAGUCCAUCCAGGUGUCAUCUCUUAUGUAGGAUUCUAGCGACAUCUUCUCCCCUUGUUCCUUUAGGCUUAGGAGUAAUAACACUUUUCUGUUCUUGCUAGUCCUGAGGAUAAGUGUUUUGUCACCUCUUGUUGAUUUCCCUGACUUCAAAUACCAAACACUAUUUUUUUGCUAUUUUUGAACUUUAUGUAAGUAGAAUCAUACAGUAUAUAUUUUGGGGGGUAAGGUUUUUUUUGUUUUGUUUUACUCAAUAAUAGGUUUGUGAGCA
rnacentral:lncRNA from 10 species